AAAGUUGUUGCAGUUAAAAAGCUCGUAGUUGGAUUUCGGAAGGUCCUUAGCAGUCCGCCCCUUCGGGGAGCGGGYUGCUGGCCUCCUAUGUUCCUAACGGUCCUCAUCCGCGAGGGUGGGGAAUCAACCGCUAGGAUCGUUUACUUUGAGGAAAUUAGAGUGUUCAAAGCAGGCGUAACUCGCCUCCGAAUACGUUAGCAUGGGAUAAUGGAAUACGACUUCGGUCUUGUUUCGUUGGUUUCGCUUGGCUGAAGUAAUGAUUGAUAGGGACAGUUGGGGGCAUUAGUAUUUAGUUGUCAGAGGUGAAAUUCUAGGAUUUACUAAAGACUGACCAAUGCGAAAGCAUUUGCCAAGGAUGUUUUCAUUAAUCAAGAACGAAAGUAGGGGGAUCGAAGACGAUCAGAUACCGUCGUAGUCUCUACCGUAAACUAUGCCGACCAGGGAUCCGGAGAGUUUGCAUGGAUGACUCCCCGGGCACCUUGUGAGAAAUCAUAAGUGUUUGGGUUUUGGGGGGAGUAUGGUCGCAAGGCUGAAACUUAAAGGAAUUGACGGAAGGGCACCACCAGGAGUGGAACCUGCGGCUUAAUUUGACUCAACACGGGGAAACUUACGAGGUCAGGACACUGUGAGGAUUGACAGAUUGAAAGCUCUUUCUUGAUUCAGUGGGUGGUGGUGCAUGGCCGUUCUUAGUUGGUGGAGUGAUUUGUCUGGUUAAUUCCGUUAACGAACGAGACCU
rnacentral:rRNA from 1 species